UUUUGAUUGUAGGAAUUUAAAAAGUAGAUCCUCUACUUUAAUACACUGAACUAUGUUUCACAAGUGCAAGUGAUACAGAGUGGUAGAGAUGAGCCGUGUUGAAUAAGGUACUAUUCCAAAAUACCUACAGUAACAUGAGUAAUGUCUGAUAAAGACGAGAAAUUUAGAAAUCAGAUUGAAUAGAUGAUGUUUGUUUUUUAUGCUCUACUGCAAAAAUACCAGACUGCAUUUCAUUCAGACUGCCGAGAACCUUGCAUACUGCCAGAUCUUAUGAAAGCAAUAGAAGAUGUAUCAACAGAAACUACUUGGAUCCAACCUCAUAUUGUACCAGACAAUACUUUUAUAGCAACGAAAAAUAUUACCUAUGAACCUAUUGGUGAAGUGAAAAACUGUA